CUGGCGGCGUGCUUCAUACAUGCAAGUCGAACGAGAAGCUGACUUCGGUCAGUGGAAAGUGGCGGACGGGUGAGUAAUAUGUAGAGAAUCUGCCCUUGAGUGGGGGACAACAGAGGGAAACUUCUGCUAAUACCCCAUAUGAGCUAACUUGAAAUAGUUAUCUUGAAAACUCCGGUGCUCAAGGAUGAGUCUGCAUCUGAUUAGCUAGUUGGCGGUGUAAUGGACCACCAAGGCGACGAUCAGUAGCUGGUUUGAGAGGAUGAUCAGCCACAAUGGGACUGAGACACGGCCCAUACUCCUACGGGAGGCAGCAGUAGGGAAUUUUGCGCAAUGGGCGAAAGCCCUGACGCAGCAACGCCGCGUGAACGAUUAAGCCCUUCGGGGUGUAAAGUUCUGUCAGUAGGGACGAAUUUUGACGGUACCUACAGAGGAAGCACCGGCUAACUCCGUGCCAGCCGCCGC
rnacentral:rRNA from 1 species